UACGUAGGGGGCUAGCGUUGUCCGGAAUCAUUGGGCGUAAAGCGCGUGUAGGCGGUCCGGUAAGUCCGCUGUGAAAGUCGGGGGCUCAACCCUCGAAAGCCGGUGGAAACUGUUGGGCUAGAGUACGGAAGAGGCGAGUGGAAUUCCUGGUGUAGCGGUGAAAUGCGCAGAUAUCAGGAGGAACACCAAUUGCGAAGGCAGCUCGCUGGGACGUUACUGACGCUGAGGCGCGAAAGCUAGGGGAGCGAACGGG
rnacentral:rRNA from 1 species